ACAGGCCCGUCCAACGCUCUCCAAUGUUCGGAGCACACUGAGUGACGAACCGCUGCUUAGCUGGAUUCCGUCACUACUAGUUUCAACGAGUUAGACCGCUCUGACAUACAGUCACAUCACAAUAAAUUUAUUGACAUUACUUUCAGGACAGACCCUUUUUAGAUAUAAAUGUUGGGAACCUGGAUGGAGGUGAGGGACAUGUACAGUAAAAACAAGAUGUAUAAGGUAAAAAAUUACUUCUUUUAGUCAGAAAUUGGUCAGUGGUGUCUGGCUUCUCUUGAUCCCUGGCCCUGGAUGGUGAAUACAAAGUGUAUAUAUAUAUAUAUAUAUAUAUAUAUAUAUAUAUAAUUGUGUACAAUCAAGCAUAGAAUCAUUGCCUUCUACCUGUGCUAACGUAUGGGGCAGAAACUUGGAGGUUUCUUGGAGACAAGAAAGGACAUUGUGUUGUCAUGUUGGAAAGCACUUUUCCGGAGGAGGGUGUGUCAGCCACUGACAUAAAUUUUAAUGAAAUUUAUACCAAUAUAGCUGACAUAAAAUGUUGAGCUGUCACGAAGUUGAAUCAGUUUGGUUUGACAACAGUCUCAAAUGAUGUUAAGGUGGAAAAAGGUCUUCUUUUAUGCGCCUUCUUCAGUGCAAAACACACAAGCUUAGGGAAUCCAUUUCAGAACCAUUGUGUCGGAAUAUAAAUCAUGGCUUCAUGUUUCAGAAUUUCUGCAGACACACCUUGACAGGCUGGGAAUCAACGACCAAUUCCUUGCUGCCAGCUCUCAGACUGUUGUACACUUCCUGUAGGAGCAUAAUCUGGGAAAAUGGGCAGGCUUUAGUAUAGAUGCAGAAGUUCUAUACAAUUCUUUGCCGCAGGUGCGUCUCUUGUAGUUUGUUAAGGACUGCAUACACAAUCAAACAGGUUUGCUGGAAUUUGCUGAAAGGUGUAAAAUUCUUGUUGCAAACUUUCUGGAGCUUCUUGAUUUCUAUUUAAGGUCAAUUUUGGUCUAGUGGGAAGGUGAAAUAUGUGUCCAGAAUGCUGGCAUCUGCAUAGGUUCUGGUGUUGCACCAGUGCUCAGUAAUAUUUUAAGUUAUGUUGACCAGAAAAUAAUCAAAACCUGAGUGGGCUUGCUCUUAAAAUUUUCAGAUACGUGGAUGAUUAUUUGUUUUUCAUGAGCAAAUGAUAACUUUCGCAGAGCUGUCAUCGAAGUACUGAAGCUAUUUAGAGAACAAUAGCAAGGUUUCAACUUCACUUAGGAGUUCCAGAAAAAAUAUGUGCUGCAACUUCUUAUGUCAGGCUUACUUUUAUGUGGGAUCACGUAUGCUGGGGAUAUCAGUCGAGAACUUCUAAGCCCCUUCUUGAUUAUAGGUCUAGCCAUUCAAAACUUAUUAAGUACAGUAUUGCCACUCACACAAUUAGAGAUGCCCCAACCAAGAGCUAUCCUCACCUUAUCCUUGAAAGUGUAAGGAAUCUGGUGACAAGGCUUAAUGAGGCAGGUUAUUCAGUUUCAGUGGCUUUUUUAUAUUGAAACACGUUAAUUAAGGAACUUAAGGUGCAACCAGGGUGGAAGAAGCUUAAGGAGCAAGAGCGGAACAAAGUUGCCAUUAUCCCCUCUAUUAAUUGUCGCACAGGUGGCUUCUAAGUUCCAGGAGAGGAUUGGGUUUUCAUUUAAAUAUAAGCUGAAGGGAAUAUGUGAAGCAAUAAACAAGCACAUUCUUCACAACAGGUGUCUGAGCAGGGAGGACUGCAAAGUGAAAUAUAGCAUAUAAUUUGUCUCUUGCACACAAAAUGUUGUUUAUUUGAUUCCUUUUUCUUGAAGCCUACAAAAUAUAUAUCAGUCAGACUGGAAGGUGCUUAAACAUUCGACUAAGGAAGUACCAUAGUUUCUUUAAGGGUUUUUGCGCAUCCACACCUUUCUGUGCAUUGUUGCAGCAUUGGGCGUCAUCCAGUUUUUGAAAGUACUAUUCUGCUGUUCACACACGUGUGAAAAGCUCUCACAUGAAUUAAUGGAGGCUUAUCACAUUAGAAAGAAAAGCUCACUAAAUGUUAGCCAGCCAUCCAUCUCGCUGCAAGAUAGCGAGGUUGCCGUGUUAGAUCCUAAGUAAAGCCACUGAGUUGCAUUGUGCCUUAGUAAUUGUUUUUUUACAUUGAUUAAUCAGCCGUGACAUGUGUGUUGCCGUCAAAACAUGUGCAUUCGGUGAUGUGAAGGUUGUUUUGGUAUGUAUCUGCAUAUGCUAGGGGGCCGGGUGUUGGUCACGUGAUGUGUGUUAUAUAUUGGUUGUUUUCUUUCAAUAAACUUCAUUUGAUAGUGCUG